rnacentral:rRNA from 1 species
UACGUAGGGGGCGAGCGUUGUCCGGAUUUAUUGGGCGUAAAAGGCUUGUAGGUGGCCACGUCAAGUCGGAUGUGAAAUCUCCCGGCUCAACUGGGAGGGGUCAUUCGAUACUGGCGGGCUCGAGGCCGGUAGGGGGAAGCGGAAUUCCCGGUGUAGUGGUGGAAUGCGUAGAUAUCGGGAGGAACACCAGUGGCGAAGGCGACUUCCUGGCCUGUUCUUGACGCUGAGGCGCGAAAGCUAGGGGAGCAAACGGG